ACAUCAACUUGUCACCUAUAUCAGGGAAAUUUCACUUUUUCUUUCUUUCUAAAUAAAUAACCUUAAAUUUGGCUUGAAAAAAAAUAGCCAAGGCAACAACAAUUUUCCUUUUGGUGCAAACAGCAAAAUAUGUGAAAACUGGACAACCUUAAAACGAAACGUUUUGGCUAAGAACGUAAUCCGCAAAAGUAAAUGAAAAACGGAGCCUGGCUGAAUAUAAAAAUUAGUCGCUGAAAAUGUUGCUAGGGCACCGGCUUGGCUGCGUUUUUCAAAACAUGAAAUCAUUUGAAUUUUGAAUCAAAACAGAAACGCGUAGGCGUUUAAUAAAUAUACCUGUUUUUUUUGUUUGGAAUUUUUUAAUUGUAAAUCCCGAUCUUGAAAUUAAUGAAGAGAUACAUAAUCAAGCUUUAAUAUUGAUCAAAGACAAGUGUAACCUCAUAUGCGGUAGUUUAUUACACAGGUUAGGAAUGCCAGCGCCAAAUCGUGGAAUGAAUGACGCAUUUAAUCGAGAAUUGGAACGGGGAGGAAUGGAAUUUUGCUGUUCAAGAAAAUGUACCCCUGUUGAAUCCUCAACAUUAUGAUACAUUAAUGAAAGCAAUUAAUGAUGGAAAUGGUGGUUUAUAUUUCCUUUAUGCCCCUGGUGGAAUUGUUACAGUUGCUUCUUCAGGAAAAGCAGCCACAUUGUUAGGAUACCGUACGGCUUAUUUAGCAUUAAAAUUACCGUUAUAUCUUCAAAAUAUUCGGGAACCUAUAUGUAAUAUUGCAAAAAAUCGGCAUAGUUUUGUCAGCAUCGAAAAUCAUAAACGUGCAUUAGAAGCACUUAACCGAACAUUGGGGAUUUCCGCCAAACACUGCCAUUACAAACCAACGCCUACCGGCGAAAUACAGGCGCAAUUGUCAGAUUUGAUACAUCUUCUUUCUGUGAAAAUUUAGUUAGGGUUGGCCACAACCGAACCAUGGCCACGGGCAAAUCUUUUCCAAUACUCGUUUUUUUUAUCUUGCUAAGUCUUGCACUGAAAACUGAAACAAAACUCAAAUGAUUCGAACGCGUUAGUCCCCUUUUGGCAAAUGAGCAUGCCAUCUUCCCACUUUCCCAAUCGAGUUACUAGAAGCUUUCUAUAUUAAGCCAGCUACAUUUUUAAUAGAUUUGUAUACAAUUAUUAUUUUUUUUACCUUUCUUAAGGUUGUCUAGAGAAAAUUUUGUUGAGAAGCAUUUUACUUUUAUUUUCAUCCAUGUAUGUUUGGGAAAGAUUCUUACAUACUAUAUUAUAAACAUAAUCUUACAAUACAUAUAUUCUAUUCAUACCAUUUAAAAAUAUACAAACUUGUUAGUCUGCAUACACUACAAA